GUGCGCUGGAAAAAACGUGACAGACAGGGAGAGUUUAUUCCUCAAAGGCCAUCAACCAGUCGAAGUACUACUUGCAUGCCAGGUGUGUCCAGAGAUCAGCAUCAAUGUCCACGUGAAGAAACUAGUUAUGUUACCAGUGUCAACCCAACAAAAGUGUAUGGAACUGAGGUGCUUCGUCAGGAGCUCCUUCAGUUGUUGGAGGAUGGAGAAGAGGACGCAGCCAUGACUUGUGAGACGUCGUCUGAGUCAGCUGCUACUCACUGGGCGAUCAGAAAUAUGGUGUCCUCGCAAAAGUGGAAAGAGGCCAGGCCUUGUCUUAUAGACAAUAUGUUAGCUACUCUGGAUCCACAGUCACACCGUGUGUGUCAGUGUGGCAAACAAGUAGUUGUGAGGUGUCUGGACUGCCUGCCUCUUCCAUUCCUUUGUGCUGACUGUGAUAUUGCAGUUCACACACGCUUUGUCCUGCACAACAGAGAGGCAGUAACAGGAGGGUUUUUGCAGCCUUCAUCAGAGUUUCACAAGCCAAUUGUUCGGCUGUUGCCUGUCCAAAGGCCAGACCAUGUGUGUGACUGCCCAGCAGGUAACGUUGAGGUUUCACCCGGCUCAAUUGUGGCUCUUGUAACCAUAAA